AACGAACGCUGGCGGCAUGCCUAACACAUGCAAGUCGAACGAGACCUUCGGGUCUAGUGGCGCACGGGUGCGUAACGCGUGGGAACCUGCCCUUAGGUUCGGAAUAACUCCCCGAAAGGGGUGCUAAUACCGGAUAAUGUCUUCGGACCAAAGAUUUAUCGCCUUUGGAUGGGCCCGCGUUGGAUUAGCUAGUUGGUAGGGUAAAAGCCUACCAAGGCGACGAUCCAUAGCUGGUCUGAGAGGAUGAUCAGCCACACUGGGACUGAGACACGGCCCAGACUCCUACGGGAGGGAGCAGUGGGGAAUAUUGGACAAUGGGCGAAAGCCUGAUCCAGCAAUGCCGCGUGAGUGAUGAAGGCCUUAGGGUUGUAAAGCUCGUUUACCCGGGAUGAUAAUGACAGUACCGGGAGAAUAAGCGCCGGCUAACUCCGUG
rnacentral:rRNA from 1 species